AGUGAACGCUGGCGGUAGGCCUAACACAUGCAAGUCGAACGGCAGCACAGUAAGAGCUUGCUCUUACGGGUGGCGAGUGGCGGACGGGUGAGGAAUACAUCGGAAUCUACUUUUUCGUGGGGGAUAACGUAGGGAAACUUACGCUAAUACCGCAUACGACCUACGGGUGAAAGCAGGGGAUCUUCGGACCUUGCGUGAUUGAAUGAGCCGAUGUCGGAUUAGCUAGUUGGCGGGGUAAAGGCCCACCAAGGCGACGAUCCGUAGCUGGGCUGAGAGGAUGAUCACCCACCCCGGGAGGGAGACACGGGCCGGACUUUUACGGGAGGGAGCAGUGGGGAAUAUCGGACAAUCGGCGAGGGCCAGAUCCACCAUUGCCUUGUGAGGCCUUUUUGUUGGAGAGGAAAAAAGCCCUUUUAACCCCCAGGUUAUUGACAGGUCCCGAAGAAUAAGCCCCGGCUAACUUCGUG
rnacentral:rRNA from 1 species